GAGUUUGAUCAUGGCUCAGAUUGAACGCUGGCGGCAUGCCUUACACAUGCAAGUCGAACGGCAGCACGGGAGCUUGCUCCUGGUGGCGAGUGGCGAACGGGUGAGUAAUGCAUCGGAACGUAUCCUGGAGUGGGGGAUAACGUAGCGAAAGUUACGCUAAUACCGCAUAUUCUGUGAGCAGGAAAGCGGGGGACCUUCGGGCCUCGCGCUCUUGGAGCGGCCGAUGUCGGAUUAGCUAGUUGGUGAGGUAAAGGCUCACCAAGGCGACGAUCCGUAGCAGGUCUGAGAGGAUGAUCUGCCACACUGGAACUGAGACACGGUCCAGACUCCUACGGGAGGCAGCAGUGGGGAAUAUUGCACAAUGGGCGCAAGCCUGAUGCAGCCAUGCCGCGUGUAUGAAGAAGGCCUGGUU
rnacentral:rRNA from 1 species